rnacentral:rRNA from 1 species
UACGGAGGGUGCAAGCGUUAUCCGGAUUCACUGGGUUUAAAGGGUGCGUAGGAGGGUGUGUAAGUCAGUGGUGAAAUCUUCGAGCUUAACUCGGAAACUGCCGUUGAUACUACAUGUCUUGAAUAUCGUGGAGGUGAGCGGAAUAUGUCAUGUAGCGGUGAAAUGCUUAGAUAUGACAUAGAACACCAAUUGCGAAGGCAGCUCGCUACACGAAUAUUGACUCUGAGGCACGAAAGCGUGGGGAU